rnacentral:lncRNA from 1 species
GGACCUAUUCCUCCCGAACAGAACCUUGCAAACAUCCAUCAAACUGAUGAAUUUGUAGAACUUUUGUAUUUGGAAUGAUAUUUCUGUUGCGUCAUUCUUAAAUGCUGAAAAGAAAAAAAGAAGCAAGCAGCACAACAAACCCAGUGGUUUCAUUUUCAUGUCAGGUUUGGCUGAAUCUUCAGCUACCAAACCCAAGAGUCACUGGAUAUGGAGACAGCUCAAGACAAACUCACAUGGAUGUACAUGCAGGGCUCCUGAUCUCCUGAAGUCUUGAUGCCUCUGAGUUAAUGCACUGCCUUGUGAAAGGACUGCAUGCUGGGGUUUAAGAGAAAAGCUUUCCUACAUGCAGUGUCAUCUACUGGUGGCAGCCCAGGUCUUGGACUGUAUGACGCCCUCCUGCGGCCAGUGGGGUGCUUGCAUUCCUGAAACGAAACACUAUGACAGUUCUGUACACCUGCUAACAUCAUCCCCAGUGACCUCCAUAAUGGAAGAGAAAUUCAAGUUUUGCUACAACCAGUUCUGCCCCCUGGGCACUGGGCUGUACCUCAGUCCUCAGGUGCAUCGCCUUUGCUGGACCAUGUCACCUCUGCCAGACUCAGUGGCCUUGGAAGUGUCUCCAGCUGUAGUGACCUCCUUCUCCGAUGCCAGCAGCAACUGCAAUCUCUAAAACAUCUGUCAGGCCACCUGCCUGACUGCCAGGAAUAAAGCACACCCCGACAACA